rnacentral:lncRNA from 1 species
GCUCCCACCCAGCUCAUUUGGCCCCCAGGUGGUGUAAGGCAGCUGGCAGUCAGCCCACAGCUACUCACGGUCUCAGGGGCCCCGCUCCACGGCCUCUGGCUCCGGACCUCCUUGUAGAGCCGCAAGCAGCUGCUGUUGAGGAUGAAGUAGCGAUCGUGGAAGCCACCUGAGGGCAGGCCCAGGCCCAGGAGGCUGCGGUCCUCACGGAACUUCAUCAUGCCAUGCUUGGUGUCACCGACACGGCUGGCUGGG